GUGCAGAUCAGCAGAGAUGGCAGAAGCUUCUGUGGCUGUUGAGUUACAGGUGUGUCUGCAGGGAGGACUUGUCCAGCUCCUUUGCUGAUUCCUACACAGAAGCCUGGCAACCAUCGAAGGGGUCCUCUGAGGGGGAAGGACCAAGCUACAGGACACCAGAAACUCCAUGAUCCAUGUGAAAACAUGAGGCAAAUGCUGAAGGAAAUGCAGCAGGCAGGAGAAGAAGUGGAUGCAGAGGCUGGGCAUGAGGCGGCAUUUCCCAGAGGAAGCAGUGGUUCCGUGCCAGCCUCUGCUGCAGGAAGAGAGGCGAUGCCAGGC